rnacentral:rRNA from 1 species
AUUGAACGCUAGCGGGAUGCUUUACACAUGCAAGUCGAACGAGUGGCGGACGGGUGAGUAAUAUAUCGGAACGUGCCCAGUAGCGGGGGAUAACUACUCGAAAGCGUGGCUACACCCGCAACAUCUUGAAGCGCCCGAUAUCGGAUGAGCUAGUUGGGGGGGUAAAGGCUCACCAAGGCAACGACCCGUAGCUGGUUGGAGAGGACGACCAGCCAAACUGGGACUGAGACACGGCCCAGACUCCUACGGGAGGCAGCAGUGGGGAAUUUUGGACAAUGGGGGAAACCCUGAUCCAGCCAUCCCGCGUGUAUGAGAAGGCCUUCGGGUUGUAAAGUACUUUUGGCAGAGAAGCGGUAUCUGCAGAAUAAGCACCGGCUAACUACGUGCCAGCAGCCGCGGUAAUAC